rnacentral:lncRNA from 1 species
GUAAGCCCCACUCCUAAUCAGUGAGCUUUAACAAGCUGUAACAUCCAAUCCGAUUGUCCACUUGAUGUAGAAUUUUGCAUGAAAUUGUCAAUAUAAGUCUUCUAUAUGCUCAAGAAUUUUUGGCCCAAUCCAAUUUACAAAUUGUGAGAAAAUCUCCAAAAAUUGCAUUGAUGUUACUCGGCCGCCAACUUGAAAAGUGAAGUAGAAAUCCCAGCAAUGAUUUCUCCUUUUUCAACUAUUAACUUUGUUUCAAAAUUGGUGUGUAACUUGAUCUUCAAGUCCUUCGACAUGAUGCCAAUUUUUCACUAGAAUCCAAUUGAUAGAUCUUUAGAUAUUAUAGAAAUCCUACCCAACCUCAAACUGCCACCUUUUGAAAUGCUCUUGUGCUAAAAACUAGAUAUCUCUAAACUACGCCAUUAAAUUAUUACAAAAUUUUGUAUACACUUAGCACACCCAAUAAUCCAAAUAGUUUCAAGUUUUUAAUUGUAGAUGUCACACCAAUUGUCAAAACCAGCCAAAAUUAUUAGCCCUAAUUAUAUUAUAUAAAAUCCAAAUC